GUCUAAUACGACCAAGCUAAGUUUGCUUGAUUCACUUCAUUAAGAGGUGUGUAUCCUAGUACAUUCCCUUGGAACAGGGGUUUUCUGCUGGACUAAUGACAGUCCUCU
rnacentral:misc_RNA from 1 species